AGUUUGAUCAUGGCUCAGGACGAACGCUGGCGGUGUGCUUCACACAUGCAAGUCGAACGAGGUAGCAAUACCUAGUGGCGGACGGGUGAGUAACGCGUGGGAAUCUGCCUUUAGAUGGGGGAUAACGGGUCGAAAGACUCGCUAAUACCGCAUAUGACGAAAGUUGAAAGGAGUAAUCCGUCUAAAGAUGAGCCCGCGUCCGAUUAGCUAGUUGGUAGAGUAAAAGCCUACCAAGGCGACGAUCGGUAGCUGGUCUGAGAGGAUGAUCAGCCACAAUGGGACUGAGACACGGCCCAUACUCCUACGGGAGGCAGCAGUGGGGAAUUUUACGCAAUGGGCGAAAGCCUGACGUAGCGACACCGCGUGAGCGAAGAAGCCCCUUGGGGUGUAAAGCUCUGUCAGCUGGAACGAAAAAAUGACGGUACCAGCAGAGGAAGCAUCGGCUAACUACGUG
rnacentral:rRNA from 1 species